rnacentral:rRNA from 1 species
GACGAACGCUGGCGGCGUGCUUAACACAUGCAAGUCGAACGAAGUGGCGAACGGGUGAGUAAUGUGUAAUCAACCUGCCCUUCAGAGGGGGACAACAGUCGGAAACGACUGCUAAUACCGCAUACUGAAGGAGGGGAUUGCGUGUGAUUAGCGAGUUGGAGGGGUAAAGGCCCACCAAGGCGAUGAUCAGGAGCCGGGCGGAGAGGAUGGACGGCCACAUUGGGAAGGAGACACGGCCCAGACUCCUACGGGAGGCAGCAGUGGGGAAUCUUCCGCGAUGGACGAAAGUCUGACUGAGGAACGCCGGGUGAGUGAAGACGGCCUUCGGGUUGUAAAGCUCUGUUAAUCGGGACGCGGUACCGGAAUAGAAAGCCACGGCUAACUACGUGCCAGCAGCCGCGGUAAUUC